GUAAGAUGUGGUUUCUCCCCAUGAGCCCUCAAAUCUGCUGCAAAGACAGGAACCCAUAGAUAGCCUUUUCAAUGUGACAACCACAUACUUUGCAUACAGAAACCAUUUAUUUUUCAGAACAAUCCUCUGGGGUAGCUGCUAUUAUUAUCCCCUCUUUAUAGAUAAGGAGAUGGAGGCCCAGAGCAAAAGGCAGGAUGAUUAGAGCUGCAUUCUGUGAAGAUCUCCAUGGCAGCAGGACAUUCAUGACAGACAGGAGAGGCCAGGGAUGAGGAAUGACAAAGCGUUUGGUGACUGCAGUGGGAAUAAAGACAAAGGUUUGGACUCCCAAGGUGCCCCCGUGGAUUGAUGAUCAGUGUGGAGUGUGAGGGCAAGAACACUUCUGCCUGGCUCCCCGGAGAAAGGUCAAGAAAGUAUAAGACUUUGUCAUCCUUCAAAACUUGCAGCAGUUUGUUGAACUUCAACCAUUAAUACAAAGCCCCAGACAUUUGGCAGGUGAUCACGGCGUACUGUUGUCUAAAGGACACAGUGACUUACCUGCUGCAGCCUCUUUGUUUGGAAAUAACUUGUUGUCAACUGCCAUGCUGAUGUCAUAGAACACCUCAUCCUCAUCGCGGUCGGCAUCAAACUGGG
rnacentral:lncRNA from 1 species